rnacentral:rRNA from 1 species
UAGGGAAUCUUCGGCAAUGGACGAAAGUCUGACCGAGCAACGCCGCGUGAGUGAAGAAGGUUUUCGGAUCGUAAAACUCUGUUGGUAGAGAAGAACGUUGGUGAGAGUGGAAAGCUCAUCAAGUGACGGUAACUACCCAGAAAGGGACGGCUAACUACGUGCCAGCAGCCGCGGUAAUACGUAGGUACCGAGCGUUGUCCGGAUUUAUUGGGCGUAAAGCGAGCGCAGGUGGUUUAUUAAGUCUGGUGUAAAAGGCAGUGGCUCAACCAUUGUAUGCAUUGGAAACUUGUAGACUUGAGUGCAGGAGAGGAGAGUGGAAUUCCAUGUGUAGCGGUGAAAUGCGUAGAUAUAUGGAGGAACACCGGUGGCGAAAGCGGCUCUCUGGCCUGUAACUGACACUGAGGCUCGAAAGCGUGGGGAGCAAACA